UACGUAGGGUGCAAGCGUUGUCCGGAAUUAUUGGGCGUAAAGAGCUCGUAGGCGGUCUGUCACGUCGGCUGUGAAAACCCGAGGCUCAACCUCGGGCCUGCAGUCGAUACGGGCAGACUAGAGUUCGGUAGGGGAGACUGGAAUUCCUGGUGUAGCGGUGAAAUGCGCAGAUAUCAGGAGGAACACCGGUGGCGAAGGCGGGUCUCUGGGCAGUAACUGACGCUGAGGAGCGAAAGCGUGGGGAGCGAACAGG
rnacentral:rRNA from 1 species